UACAGAGGGUGCAAGCGUUAAUCGGAAUUACUGGGCGUAAAGCGUGCGUAGUCGGUUAUUUAAGUCGGGCGUGAAAGCCCCGGGCUCAACCUGGGAAUUGCGUUCGAUACUGGAUAGCUAGAGUUCGGCAGAGGGAGGUGGAAUUCCACGUGUAGCGGUGAAAUGCGUAGAUAUCUGGAGGAACACCGGUGGCGAAGGCAGCCCCCUGGGUCAAGAUUGACGCUCAUGCGACGAAAGCGUGGGGAGCAAACAGG
rnacentral:rRNA from 1 species